GACGAACGCUGGCGGCGUGCCCAAUACAUGCAAGUAGAACGCAGUGGCGAACGGGUGAGAAACGCGUCGGUACCUGCCUCAUAGCGGGGGAUAACCUUUGGGACCGCUCGCUACUACCGCAUACUUUGAGAUGGACCUGCGUUGUAUUAUAUAGUUGGUGAGGUAAAGGCUAACCAAGGCGACGAUACAUAGCCGACCUGAGAGGGUGAUCGGCCACACUGGGACUGAGACACGGCCCAGACUCCUACGGGAGGCAGCAGGAGGGAAUCUGCGGCAAUGGACGGAAGUGUGACAGAGGAACGACGCAUGAGUGAAGGAGGCUUUCGGAUGUGAAGGGUCAGUUGUUAGAGAAGCGGUAACUAACGAGAAGGGGCGGGCUAAGUACGUGCCAGAAGCCGCGGUAAUAC
rnacentral:rRNA from 1 species